AGGACUGAGGAGUGGUACAUGAAUGGAUUGAGACGGGAAAGUAACAUAUUCUCUGGAAUCAGAUGGUUUGAACAGGUGUAUAAAGCAGACUGGGAAUGGUAAACAUUCAAAACUGUCCCACUUGGCCCAUCAGGCUUUCUUGGAGUCCAGCACCAUGUGUACCAACCGCCUGGGAUGAAAUCAGUUGCAAAAACAGCCUUGGAUUAAGAACUCUCUCAUACUGGUCCCUAUCAACCUUCCUGUGCCCCACCCCCCUCUUGCAUCAGCUGCAGCUGACUCAGGGAAGCCUAUUCUAGCUGCCAGGGACGCUUGCCUUUAAUGGAAGAAAAAAAAAAAAGUCUUUUCCUGGGCUGCAUUACUCAUGUCUGACUUCAGAGCGCUGCACACAGCACCACUGGGAGCCUACACUGUAUGUGCUUUCAGACACGCACCAGGUAGUGUCUGCCUGACCACCUGACACCUUCCCACCAGUCCCAGAGCUCUUUGCCUUCAAGUGACUAGGACUGCACUGCUUAGAAUCAAACCCAGAAAACUGAGUUCUUUCCAGAGUCAGAGGCAGCCCUCAGGUUUAUGGACCCUUGGUUGAACCAGAGCUUUGGAGAGUGGGUGUGGAGUCCUUCCCUUCAUUGUGUCUCAACUACAUAUCACAACACACUCCCAUGGAGUAGAGGAAAGAAGACUUCACUGAGGAAGUGAUCUGAAAACAGAAAGAAGAAUUUCCAAGCAGAAGAAUGUGGAGAGGGGGGAAGGGAGAAAAAUCUCCUGGAGACCUCCCAUGUUGUCGAACA